CGGCCCUGAGCCCCGCCCGCCACUGCGGCCACGUCCUCCGCCCGCCGCGCGGAGCUGCCGGGACUUGUAGUCCAGUCGGAUCCACCCACGGCAGAAGGGGCUGGCGGGAAAACGGAUGUGACUGCACCUAGGACCACCGCAGAACCCCGCGGCACCAACAGGGUUAGGGACUGUGUGUGCUAAGCUGGGCAUGGUGCGCAUGCCUGCAGUACCAGCACUCUGGGAGGCUGAGGCAGGAGGAUUGAUGACAGUGACACUAACAAUGCCUGCUUAUUGUGGGAUCACAGAAGAGCAUGGAUGUAAAGUCCUUGGGACAGUGCCUGGCACUGCUGGAUAACCUGGAAGAAGGAAGACACACCUUCCCAGGCACUCACAGGGUGACACGUACCAAAAGACACUGGGACACAGGGACAGGCACACUGUGAUGCACAGGAGCCCUCAAAAAUGCCUGAGAUGGUGGCAGUAUAACUGUGGGACUGCAUAACUCUGUAAUCAUAAAACUCCCCUAGCCCCAGCUGUGAUUGAAUGUGAGUAAAUAGAUAAAGAUGCUUGUUAGCUCCAGCUCCGGGACACUAGAUAAGAUCUGUAUCAGCC
rnacentral:lncRNA from 1 species